rnacentral:rRNA from 1 species
AACGGCGUCUAAUACUGGAUAUGAGCUCUCAUCGCAUGGUGGGGGUUGGAAAGAUUUUUCGGUCUGGGAUGGGCUCGCGGCCUAUCAGCUUGUUGGUGAGGUAAUGGCUCACCAAGGCGUCGACGGGUAGCCGGCCUGAGAGGGUGACCGGCCACACUGGGACUGAGACACGGCCCAGACUCCUACGGGAGGCAGCAGUGGGGAAUAUUGCACAAUGGGCGGAAGCCUGAUGCAGCAACGCCGCGUGAGGGAUGACGGCCUUCGGGUUGUAAACCUCUUUUAGCAGGGAAGAAGCGAGAGUGACGGUACCUGCAGAAAAAGCGCCGGCUAACUACGUGCCAGCAGCCGCGGUAAUACGUAGGGCGCAAGCGUUAUCCGGAAUUAUUGGGCGUAAAGAGCUCGUAGGCGGUUUGUCGCGUCUGCUGUGAAAUCCCGAGGCUCAACCUCGGGCCUGCAGUGGGUACGGGCAGACUAGAGUGCGGUAGGGGAGAUUGGAAUUCCUGGUGUAGCGGUGGAAUGCGCAGAUAUCAGGAGGAACACCGAUGGCGAAGGCAAAUCUCUGGGCCGUAACUGACGCUGAGGAGCGAAAGGGUGGGGAGCAAACAGGCUUAGAUACCCUGGUAGUCCACCCCGUAAACGUUGGGAACU